rnacentral:lncRNA from 1 species
CUGCCUAGAAAUCUUGUAUUGUACUAUGAGGAUGCAGAAGACAAAAUGCAGACUUUGAGAAACUACUGAUGAAACAGCCCGAAUUCUUCAACUGAUGAAUUGCAAUGAAAAGAAAAGAUUGGAAGGGAAACUAUAGAUUUAAAAAGGCCCAGUGUAUACGGGCUAGGGGUAUGGCUCAGUUGGUAGAGGGCUUGCCUUGCAUGUGCUACACCCUGGGUUCAAUCCCCAGCCCUACAAAAAAGAAGAAAAGGUGGGAAAGAAAGUGUGUACCUGUAAUCCCGCUACUGGGGAGGCUAAGACAGGAGGAUCACAAGUUAGCAAAGGCCUGCCUCAAAAAUUUUAAAAAUGAAUGAGAUUUAGCUCAUGGGCGAGGCUCUGGGUUCAGUCUCUAGGACCACAAAACAAAACUUACCUGUGUAAUUUCAG